GCGUAAACAAUUGCGCCAGCAGGAGUGCGUUGUUGCGGGUAAAGAGUGCAAAAAUAUUUGAAUAGGAAUAUGGUGCAGUGUUAUGCUCCUGGCUGCCAGCACCGCUCGGAUACUUCUGUGUACAAAUUCCAUCGUUUUCCAACGGACAGAAGUACUAAGUUUCGGUGGAUGAGGUACAUAAGACGGGCAGACAAAGCUCCAGAUGCUAACUCAAGAAUAUGUUCAUGCCAUUUCACCAAUGGUCUUAAGAAAGGACCAACACAUUUUCAAAACCGAA